GCUCUGCCCUCUCUCCAGGUGAACCCAGGGCUGCAGACAUUUGUGGGAUCUCAGGACGCUGUGUCCCCCCGGUCCAGGUGAACCCAGGGCUGCAGGCGUUCGUGGGGUCUCAGGACGCUGUGUCCCCCUGGUCCAGGUGAACCCAGGGCUGUAGAUGGAGGUGGGGUCUCAGGACGCUGUGUCCCCCCAGUCCAGGUGAACCCAGGGCUGCAGACGGAGGUGGGGUCUCAGGACGCUGUGUCCCCCGGUCCAGGUGAACCCAGGGCUGCAGACGGAGGUGGGGUCUCAGGACGCUGUGUCCCCCCGGUCCAGGUGAACCCAGGGCUGCAGACGGAGGUGGGGUCUCAGGACGCUGUGUCCCCCCGGUCCAGGUGAACCCAGGGCUGUAGAUGGAGGUGUGGUCUCAGGACGCUGUGUCCCCCCGGUCCAGGUGAACCCAGGGCUGCAGAUGGAGGUGGGGUCUCAGGACGCUGUGUCCCCCCAGUCCAGGUGAACCCAGGGCUGCAGACGGAGGUGGGGUCACAGGAUGCUGUGUCCCCCCGGUCCAGGUGAACCCAGGGCUGCAGACGGAGGUGGGGUCUCAGGACGCUGUGUCCCCCCGGUCCAGGUGAACCCAGGGCUGCAGACGGAGGUGGGGUCUCAGGACGCUGUGUCCCCCCGGUCCAGGUGAACCCAGGGCUGCAGACGGAGGUGGGGUCUCAGGACGCUGUGUCCCCCUGGUCCAGGUGAACCCAGGGCUGCAGACGGAGGUGGGGUCUCAGGACGCUGUGUCCCCCCAGUCCAGGUGAACCCAGGGCUGCAGACGGAGGUGGGGUCUCAGGACGCUGUGUCCCCCGGUCCAGGUGAACCCAGGGCUGCAGACGGAGGUGGGGUCUCAGGACGCUGUGUCCCCCCGGUCCAGGUGAACCCAGGGCUGCAGACGGAGGUGGGGUCUCAGGACGCUGUGUCCCCCCGGUCCAGGUGAACCCAGGGCUGCAGACGGAGGUGGGGUCUCAGGACGCUGUGUCCCCCCAGUCCAGGUGAACCCAGGGCUGCAGACGGAGGUGGGGUCACAGGAUGCUGUGUCCCCCCGGUCCAGGUGAACCCAGGGCUGCAGACGGAGGUGGGGUCUCAGGACGCUGUGUCCCCCCGGUCCAGGUGAACCCAGGGCUGCAGACGGAGGUGGGGUCUCAGGACGCUGUGUCCCCCUGGUCCAGGUGAACCCAGGGCUGCAGACGGAGGUGGGGUCUCAGGACGCUGUGUCCCCCCAGUCCAGGUGAACCCAGGGCUGCAGGCGUUCGUGGGGUCUCAGGACGCUGUGUCCCCCUGGUCCAGGUGAACCCAGGGCUGUAGAUGGAGGUGCGGUCGGUCACAGGAUGCUGUGUCCCCCCCUCUCAGCGCCCCCUUGUGUGUUCCCUGCAGGAAGCUCCUUUGCAGCUGACCGUGCCAGUGAGGGAGGUGGGUGCCAGGUGAGCUGAGGGAGACUGGUACGCAGGGGCGUCCUCCUGGGAGUGGGCUCACUGAGGCUCACUCAGUGGUGGCCCGUGAGUGUCCACAGAGCAGUGCCUUGGAGCGCACACCUGGGCCCCGGAUGUGCUGAGUCCUGCUCUUUGUCCACGGGGAGGGAGCUGCGUCCCCAGAACCCAGGCUGUGUCACAGUUUGCAGAUUGGCACACAGUGGACACGUCACCGCGCCGUGGACUUCCCCUUCUCUCAGCCCCCAUCUUGUGCUCUGCGCUCAGUGCACUUUGUCCUGGAAAGUCGGUGGUGGUGGUGCCUGCUGAUGGGCAGUCGGGUUCCUAGGCGGGGCCUAGCCUCUGGCAGGGGCUGUGGCGCAGGCCAGAGAGGAUGGAUAGGGUGUCUGUGUUUAAGCCUCGUGCUGGGAGAUGGAGGGCGGAGUGCUGACCCUUAGGAAUGCUUGUGGGAGGCGUGUGCCCAGAGCAGUGUCCUGGUGUAUUUGGGAUUUCAGGCCCAGAACGCAGGAAGGGGGUGGUGUGCAGGGAGCAGAGGCUGUGCAGAGUGAGAGGCACGACUCCGGAUCUUAGAGCAUGGGAUGCUGGGGGGAGGUGGACGUGUGGGCUUCCAGGCCAGGGGCCAGGGAGGGGUCUCAGGAGAGCGUGGUGGAGAUCCAGGGGAGCAGCUGGCUGGAGGGCGCCCGGCAGGCACAGGGGCCGGAGGUGGGGCCUCCAGGGGUUUUGCACGUCACAGGCUGCAGCCGCCAGAGGCCAGCCUGUGGACACGCACAUGUGCCGGCCUCCGCUCACACAGGUGCCCGUGCUUGCGGGACACGGGCAGACGUGAGCUGCAGCCCCGCGCUGGCUCUCUGACCCGCUGCUCUUGGGCCCAGUUUGAUGUGCAGAGAGAAUUGAGGCUUUGAGUGGCUGGCUGGCAUGAUGUCAUUUCUCGCUUCAAAGAAGAAAUAAUCAGGGCCCACAGCAGGAUCCUUUUCCUUUGAAUUUGCCACAGAUGUCCUUGACAGAAUUAGAAAGGCAGAGAGCCUCCGUCAGUUUGGACAGGGCAGCAAAAGUACUUCCACGCGGCGCUCACAGGCCAGACGGUGAUGCAGCGUCUUUGAAAACCGCCCAGUCAUGAGACGUGCACUGCUGUGGUCUGGGAGGCGGGAGGGGAGCGUCAGGAGGGCAGCGGAGGUUAGCACAGGAAGUUAAUCCUGCUCAGAACCCCGCGGCCGGGGCUGGCCCCAGCCUCUCAGAGCUUGUAUAAUUCAUGGAGUCUUUGACCGAGCAGCCUUGAAGGGAGCCUUUGUUGUAUCCAUGGAGGAGACAGGCGGCUGUGGCCGCGCGGGCCUGCGGUGUGAGCCCCUCUCGCUGAGUCUCGGCCGUGUCGGGCGCCCCGCAGUCCUGUGCCGGGUCACACGUGGUCUCCUUGAGCGCUGGCGCUCCAGGAUCUAAUUCCGGGUCAUGGCUGGCGUUUGCUUCUUGCUGGGGCCCACUUUUGCCCAGAAAGGACACAUGCUCCCUGCAGGCAGACACAGAGGUGGCUGACAGCAAGGUUACAGUGACGCCAGGCCAGCGUGGCUGCCGCACCCGUGAGCCAUGGGAAGCUACAGGUCUUCAGGGCCUGUUGAUGGCUUAUUAAUUAAUUGGCUAUGAAAACCAACCCUUUGGCAUUGAAAGGGGCCUACGAACACAGCUCUGGAAAAUACCUUUCAACUUUAAAGACGCACCGAGAUCUGGGUGGCUGUGGGCUGUGACGGUUUGUUCACGUGUCACUUUCGUGGGCCACCAGGCCCAGCUGUGUGGUCGCACCUUACCUGCGUGUUUCUGGAUGAGAUUGACAUUUAAGCUGGAGACUUUGUAUAGAGCAGGUAUCCCUCCAUGGUGUAUGGGAGCCUCAUCCAGCCGGUUGAAGGCCUUGGUAGGCCAGACUGACCCCCGAGCAAGGAGUUCUGCCAGCAGGCGGCCUGACGCACAAUUGGCGUCCAACUGCGUCCUCACCUGCACCGUCGCACGCGCCAGGUGCAUAAACCAGCCGACAGAUCCGCCAGUGGUUCUCUGCCUCUAUCUCUCUCUCUCUCUCACACACACACACACACAUACACACUCACACACUCACACACACACACACACACUCACACACUGCUCCCUAUUGGUUCUGUUUCUCUGGAGAACCCUGACUCUCAACCAAAGAAUGAAUAUCCAUUAGGAAUUUUUUUAAAAUUAUUUUUGGGGCUGGCGUUGUGGCACGCAGUGGGUUAACCGACGCAAGGUUUGAA